rnacentral:lncRNA from 1 species
AUUUUAUUGCAAGAGAGACAUAUGUCUCAAUAUAUGUGAAUUCUGAAGCCUUUGGAACAUUAAGUGACCCACAGGGGAAAGGAAUAAUAUGUUUCCACUUACAGCAACCAGUCACAGAAAUCCCAAGCAUACUGAGGCUGAAGGAGGAGAUGAUGCAGACACCACUCCCUUUCCUGAUUGCUAUCUGUGGCUUUAAGGGAUAUGCAGAAUGUUCUGCCUGUCAUGUCACAUCUCAGUGUUAAUAUUGAUUAUGACUUUUUUGUUUCAAAACGGAAAGCAUUUUUAACUCAGAUUUCUUCAAAUAUUAACGGUCCAGGAAAAAGGAAGACUGUCCAGCACAUCUGGAAUUGUCUACACCUCCGCCUGAGACUAGAAUUGCAAAAUGAUUUAAUCAUUUCUAGGGUGAAGUGGUGGAAUUCCCUGCAAGACCCUGAUGCCUGCUGGCUGGCAUGAGAAGGACCUACACAUCUGGGAAAUGGAGUUCCAGGUUCAAUUGCUCUCCACUUUAAAGGCAAGAUCCUGAACAUUCCACAUUGCUGACCCUGGAUUUUAUUUUUUUCUUUUUCAUUGUAUAUGACAUUGGACCAGAGGUAUAUUUGCCUGACUUCCCACUCUCACUGUCUCACUAGCUGAACUAUAGACAUGAGUUCAUAACCCUUAUUUAGAACAAGUGGAUUUGAGCUUUGAACAGAAAUUCCUCACAUACCAAGAGACUUCGCAGGUGAAGGUUUAUUCUGCAGUGCAGCAGAUUGCUUGUGAAAAUAGUUUGAAAAAACUUCUGCUCUUCUAUAAUGAACUGAGGAGGAGUUUCCAACCAUUGGAAGCUCCAGAGUGGAGCUCUAGAAAAGCCUUCUGAAAGGACAGGUGGACCAAAGAGUUCAUCUGUUUCAGAGUUUCAUCCUUACACAAUAUCAAAAAAGAUCUAAUACUAUGUUUUUAUAAACACACUUAUUGAACCAUACCUUAUUUUGCACAUUGGCUUAUUUUGGAUAAAAACAACAACAACAACAAAAAAAAAACACUGUUGUCUCUUCCUAGUCUUUCUGACCACAAAGCAUAAAAAGUCAUUAUGUUGUUUAUUAUUAGUAUUUUUUUUUCUUUGAAACCAGCUGUGCUGUGUCAAUUAUCUGUUUUGUAAUAUGCUUAUAAGCUUAUUAAUAUAUCUACGGGGUUAAUAGUUGCUUUGCAAGAGGUUUGAUAUUGAAUAUAUUUAAACAGCAAUUUAAGAUGCUUUGAAAUUUUUAAAAACUUUACCUGAAAGAUUUUAGGGCUCUAUUUUGCACUUGGCUCAGCAGAACUGUGUGGCUGUAACAGCCUGUUUCUCCCUGGUGUUUCAUGCUGCAGGAUGGCUGUAUUUCUAAGUGCCUUCCAGGGACUUUUGUGAACAGGAACAGUACAUUGUCCCUCCAGGAUGGUAAGGAACUCCAAUCAAAAUAAACAAACAAACAAACAACA